GGUUGACCUCGGAUCAAGUAGGGAUACCCGCUGAACUUAAGCAUAUCAAUAAGCGGAGGAAAAGAAACCAACAGGGAUUANNUNAGUAACGGCGAGUGAAGCGGUAACUGCUCAAAUUUGAAAGCUGCCAACAGGCCGCGUUGUAAUUUGUAGAAGAUGCUUUGGGUGUCGGNNCAGUCUAAGUUCCUUGGAACAGGACGUCAUAGAGGGUGAGAAUCCCGUAUGUGAUUGGUGCCGUCCCCCGUGUAAAGCUCUUUCGACGAGUCGAGUUGUUUGGGAAUGCAGCUCAAAAUGGGUGGUAAAUUUCAUCUAAAGCUAAAUAUUGGCCAGAGACCGAUAGCGCACAAGUAGAGUGAUCGAAAGAUGAAAAGCACUUUGGAAAGAGAGUUAAACAGUACGUGAAAUUGUUGAAAGGGAAGCGCUUGCAAUCAGACUUGCAGGCGGUUGAUCAUCCGAGGUUCUCCCCGGUGCACUCGAUCGUCUUCAGGCCAGCAUCGGUUUCAGUGGUGGGAUAAAGGCUGUGAGAACGUGGCUCUUCGGAGUGUUAUAGCUCACGGUGCAAUGCCGCCUACUGGGACCGAGGACCGCGCUUCGGCUAGGAUGCUGGCGUAAUGGUUGUAAGCGACCCGUCUUGAAACACGGACCAAGGAGUCUAACAUCUAUGCGAGUGUUUGGGUGUCAAACCCAUACGCGUAAUGAAAGUGAACGGAGGUGAGACCCCAUUAGGGCGCAUCAUCGACCGAUCCUGAUGUCUUCGGAUGGAUUUGAGUAAGAGCAUAGCUGUUGGGACCCGAAAGAUGGUGAACUAUGCGUGAAUAGGGUGAAGCCAGAGGAAACUCUGGUGGAGGCUCGCAGCGGUUCUGACGUGCAAAUCGAUCGUCAAAUUUGCGUAUAGGGGCGAAAGACUAAUCG
rnacentral:rRNA from 2 species